CAGGUAGAAGAGAGCAGACAGAGUGUAUUCUGUACAACAUAUCCUUCCAGUGUAUACAACCAUAGACAUUAUUACACAGCAGCUCUACCAAAUUCAACAUUUUGGUCCCCAAUGAGCAGGUUAGUCCUAAGUGUAUUAAAAAGAUUUUCAAUAUUAUGGAAUUAAAUUUGUACCAAAUUUAUUGAAUUGAACAAAUAUAUACUAUGAGAAAGAAGAAAAACACUCUGAAACUGAAAACAAAUGAACUCCGUGGCAAAACUUUAACAAGAGCUUAAAAAAAAACAACAACAACAAAAAACAGCAUUCUUUGUUAACAGUUUCUAGGCUUCGUUUUUGCUAAUCAUGGUUUAAGAAUGUGCUGCCAGAGUUUUCAUUUACGCUCCACAAGUUUAUGUUUACCAUUCUGGCACAAACCUCUUGUGUGGGCCGGGCUUAACAGCACCUUACUCUCAUUGGCUAGUGAGAUUUGGAUCAACAGCUCCCUGACCAGGAAGGGAGAUUUCAGUGUCAUAAGUUUUGGAGAGCGUUCUGGAUGCAUAUCUCUGUAUAGUUAUAGGAUGAGCUCCCAGGAGCGGCAUGGACCGUCGUCAUCAUCAUCAUCAAUGUUAUCCUCCUCCUCAGCUGGACACUUGAGCUGUCAAUCCAAAUCUCACUAACCAAUGAGACUGUUAAACCCCACCCACAGGUACAAUUGGUGCCAGAAUGGCGAAUGUUAACUUGCUUAAAUGAAAACUCACUGUUUUCAGUUUCAGUGUUCUUUUCUUCUCUCUCAAUGUAUAUAUUUGUUCUUUUCUUGCAAAGAUAUGUUCAAUACCUUCAGCACAAAUUUAAUUCCAUACAAUAAGAGCACAUUGAGAAUAAAUGUUCUUGGGUGAGCACAGGAAAAUCUUGAUUACAAAAGCAGUUCUCUGAUACAAAUCUACAGUAUCCAGGUGAGAUUAUCUGCUAAAGCAAAGGUGAGUUCAAAGUGCAAAUUUUUAAGGUAUCCAUGCGGGACCACCCACAGCAGCAGAAGGUGAGUCACAAGACCAUCUAAAGACCUCACUGGCCUGGUCAAAACAUGUCUGAGCUUCAAUCCAGCACAUCUUUUCUCUCCCUCUGCUGGGAUUUUGCCAGUUAGCUAGUUCUUAGCUAUUUGCUAGAAAUUGCACUGUCUGUCCAGACAAGGCCUGGAGCUACAGAGCAGCAGAGACAUGAGCAGCAGAGACCUCAGCAGAACACUACAUGUCCUGCCUAGCCCAAAGCUGCCUCAUCUCUUCAUCUUUUAUCUGCUGGCUGCCUGCCCUGCAUCGGCCAUAUUUACUACACAUGAUAGAAAGAGAGAGAGCAAGACAAGAGGUGCAAAAACUUGUUCAAAUUCUAUUCUGUCCUAAUUUUCCUCAUGCAGUGUAAAUAUGACAAAUAUAACAAAUACUUAUUAAAAACUAUACUUCAGUAAAAGAACAAAGACAAAUGUUAACACAGUGAGCACUAUAUGGGCUACUCUGUAGAUGCUUGUCUUAACAUGUAUGCCCACACACACAUACACACUUCUCUCUAUGCCUUAACCUACCUAACAGGAAUUAUGAUCAUAAUCAGCCCACACACCAGUACCAGAACCAAGACAACUGAACUAAUCCUGGAGCCACACCUCAGUCACCCCGACACACACACAGACACACACACACACAGAAUCAGACACAGCCAGCAGUGCCUCUCUUUGAAAGGCUUUCUGAGAUAAGCAAAAUCUGUAUUUGAUCCGUCACCAGGAUCUGAGGUUGGAGAGAGCGUUUGAAGUGAUAUCUCUGUCAUUGCUUUCCACAUAAUACUAUUACCACUAGAAACCCUACUGUCUUUUCCUGAUGGAUUCUCAAGCAUUGAAGCCGAG
ensembl:lncRNA